rnacentral:rRNA from 1 species
UACGUAGGGCGCAAGCGUUAUCCGGAAUUAUUGGGCGUAAAGAGCGCGUAGGCGGCCAGAUAAGUCCGGUGUGAAAGUCACAGGCUCAACCUGUGAAUGCCGCUGGAAACUGUCUGGCUAGAGUCCGGUAGGGGAGACUGGAAUUCCUGGUGUAGCGGUGAAAUGCGCAGAUAUCAGGAGGAACACCGGUGGCGAAGGCGGGUCUCUGGGCCGAUACUGACGCUGAGGAGCGAAAGCGUGGGGAGCGAACAGG